rfam:Pantoea sp. At-9b, complete genome.
UUUUCUCUGAGAUGUUUGCAUGCGGGCCAGUCCCCUGAGCCGAUAUUUCAUUACCACAGAAUGUGGCGCUCCGUAACUUGUGAGCAUGCUCGGUCCGUCCGAGAAGCCUGAUAGUUGCGACGACACAUUCACCUUGAACCAAGGGUUCAAGGGUUACAGCCUGCGGCGGCAUCUCGGAGAUCUC